GGACUGAACAUUUUCAUUAUUGUAUUGUAAGUGGACUUAUUGUUAAAAAAAAGAAAUGUUAAACUGACCCUGUGUAAAAGUCUGUGCCUGAUUAUAGUCAUGAAUGAAAAAAUUAUAAUGGUUUAAUGAAAGCUCACAUGAAGUAACGUUUUAAUUUUAAAAUAUUUACAGAGAAAUAGAUUCUUUUGUAUUUUAAUUGUGAUUAUGCAAUGUGGAUUAGCAAAAAGGUAGUAAUUCUUGCUAAAUAUCUACUGUUUUACUGCACAAAGGAGAAUGUAAGUAUUCUGAUCAUACAUUCAAAAACAAUACACAAGUCUUGAAAAGAAGACUUGUGUAUUGUCUUUCAAAGAAUAUCCCAGUUUUAAAAUGAAAUAUAUUAACAACAUUACUCAAACAAGCUGUUUAAAAAUAUUGGUUUGAGCAUUUCCAGGAACAAUCCAUAACAGAUGAUAUGGUGGACAGCUUUUAAAAUACUGGAUUUCUAUGAAUAAACAGUGCUGCCUUAUCUGCAGCCUGUGUGUAGCAGUGGUCAACUCAUCUCAAAUGAUAGUGUACAAGUAGAGGUAUUUUUUUAAAAAAAAAAAAAGGUAGGAAAAGCCAAGGGAUUUUGAAAAUUUGAGACAGGACCAUGGAAAGGGGAAAAAAAAUAAAAAAUAUUUUAAAAGGGUGGUAUCAGAAUACAAAAUAAUGCAAAGCAGAAAGAAGCUAUAUCAGAAGAACUCAGGAACAAGAUGACAGUGAAGUUUUAGGUGGGAAGUCCUCAGAAAAGAAGAUACAUUUUCAGGCAAUGUUCUGUUAAAUCACAGACCUCAUUCCUUCUGAAAGCCAUUGAUGCCCAACAACUGAGCACAUUUCCCAAGUAGUUACUUACAUGCUUAAUAAUACAAGCCCAAAUAAUUGUAGCUAAUCCUAACAUAAUUACAUCACACUUUUCAACCUCUACUUCAAAAUUGUAAAAACUCCAGAAGAAACCUCAUGCAAGGGCAGGUUAUGCUUUAUCUCCAAAUAUCCUAUGAAGCAUUUGGCAUUGGCCAGCUCAGAGACUGAACUAGCCUCGUCCUGGGGUAGAGUCUGUGCUCCUGCAUGCUUCAGACAUCUCCUCUGUCACGUGCCUGGUGGAGCAGUGAUGACUGAGUUGGACACUGGAAGACAAGCGUGUGGUGUGACUACAGUAACUGAAAAUAAGCUAGCUAUCUUAAAAAAUCAGACUGUUUUGAAGUUAAGUGCACUGCAGAGAGCACAGGGUUUUAAAUUACACUAGCACAUAGCUGAUAAUAAAUUUCUAGGUACUAGGUACUUUGGCUUAAAGUUGGAGCUUUUUUAAGCCCUGGCACUGUAUGUGCAACAGCUCGUGCUUCUCUCAGCAGUGAAGCCAGCAGGUGACAUUGGCUGUCUAUACAAAACCCAAUAACGACAUCAACAAUUCUUGGGAAGCCAAAAGGACAUCAGCACCAUCAACAACAAUCUGUUGUGUAAAGUUAAUGGCACUGUUAGGGUUUUUUUUUCUCAAAAAGCUGAGCAAUGUUUUUGGAGUGCAGUCUCCUGGAAAUUUUGGUGGAAAUUCUUUCUUGGAAAAGGCCCUGAAUCAGAGUGUACUCCAACCAAAGAGGUCCCCUGUGGCUUCUGCAGGGGCAGUCACUUCUGUAGAAGCAAAUGCAAUAGUCAGGUCUAGACUCACACAUCCUCCUCAAAGUGGUCAGGACUCACUUUUAUUCUGGCUUUAGACCAUGGUUUCUCCUACUCCUGGUUUUAGGUUGAAAGUAACUGCUGAAUGAGUGGAGUUGAGAGAAAGAUAGGGCUAAAAGGCCCUAUUACACCUGGCUGCCUGAAACAACUCAAAAUAUUUGUGCUCACUCAGUGAUUUGGCUUAAUGACUCAAGUCAGCUCAUAACAAUUAAACCCAGCCAAGAUCAGGACGUAAAAGACCAGGACACAAACCGUGAGCAGCUAACAAAAACAUAACAAUGUUUUACCUUAUCUGCACUUAAGUCACCAAAGGCUUUGCUUAGCCCAUUGCUCCUAGGCACAUUUAGGUACAAAAGCUUCCUAGAUACAAACCUUCACUAGAACAGACCAAUCUUAGUGACAAAAGAAGUCUUUGAUCUCUGUGUGCUAUCUGGCUUUGUGGCUUCAGAGCUGGGUUGUAUCUUCCUUAGAAAGCUUUUACUGAUGACGCUUUUAAAAAGUGGAUGCACAUACUCCUUAGCUGGGGAAGUUUUCAGCCCUUGCUUCAAGACAAACCUUCUUUCCCCAAAGGAAUGUUGACAUCUCAGUGGAGUAAGCUUUCCUGAUUCUCGUCCUUGGUUUUGUCUGCUUCUUGCCUGUUGUGUGCAGGCUCUGGUUCUUUCGUUUGUGAAAAGUGCCUAACCGGAGUUAAUGUUGAAUUUAUCCUUCCUGUUGUACUCAUGUAGUUUCAAAGAAGAGCAAUGUAUUAGAUAAAGAUGGCUUAUGCGAUUUCUGCUGUUCUGCUUGGUUUUGAUCAUGCUAAAUGGGAAGUCAUGUACUGUGGAAACAAAAUAAAGAGGCCUUGUAUUUACAC
ensembl:lncRNA